UGUUAGCGGCGGACGGGUGAGUAACACGUGGGUAACCUGCCUGUAAGACUGGGAUAACUCCGGGAAACCGGGGCUAAUACCGGAUGGUUGUUUGGACCGCAUGGUUCAAACAUAAAAGGUGGCUUCGGCUACCACUUACAGAUGGACCCGCGGCGCAUUAGCUAGUUGGUGAGGUAACGGCUCACCAAGGCAACGAUGCGUAGCCGACCUGAGAGGGUGAUCGGCCACACUGGGACUGAGACACGGCCCAGACUCCUACGGGAGGCAGCAGUAGGGAAUCUUCCGCAAUGGACGAAAGUCUGACGGAGCAACGCCGCGUGAGUGAUGAAGGUUUUCGGAUCGUAAAGCUCUGUUGUUAGGGAAGAACAAGUACCGUUCGAAUAGGGCGGUACCUUGACGGUACCUAACCAGAAAGCCACGGCUAACUACGUGCCAGCAGCCGCGGUAAUACGUAGGUGGCAAGCGUUGUCCGGAAUUAUUGGGCGUAAAGGGCUCGCAGGCGGUUUCUUAAGUCUGAUGUGAAAGCCCCCGGCUCAACCGGGGAGGGUCAUUGGAAACUGGGGAACUUGAGUGCAGAAGAGGAGAGUGGAAUUCCACGUGUAGCGGUGAAAUGCGUAGAGAUGUGGAGGAACACCAGUGGCGAAGGCGACUCUCUGGUCUGUAACUGACGCUGAGGAGCGAAAGCGUGGGGAGCGAACAGGAUUAGAUACCCUGGUAGUCCACGCCGUAAACGAUGAGUGCUAAGUGUUAGGGGGUUUCCGCCCCUUAGUGCUGCAGCUAACGCAUUAAGCACUCCGCCUGGGGAGUACGGUCGCAAGACUGAAACUCAAAGGAAUUGACGGGGGCCCGCACAAGCGGUGGAGCAUGUGGUUUAAUUCGAAGCAACGCGAAGAACCUUACCAGGUCUUGACAUCCUCUGACAAUCCUAGAGAUAGGACGUCCCCUUCGGGGGCAGAGUGACAGGUGGUGCAUGGUUGUCGUCAGCUCGUGUCGUGAGAUGUUGGGUUAAGUCCCGCAACGAGCGCAACCCUUGAUCUUAGUUGCCAGCAUUCAGUUGGGCACUCUAAGGUGACUGCCGGUGACAAACCGGAGGAAGGUGGGGAUGACGUCAAAUCAUCAUGCCCCUUAUGACCUGGGCUACACACGUGCUACAAUGGACAGAACAAAGGGCAGCGAAACCGCGAGGUUAAGCCAAUCCCACAAAUCUGUUCUCAGUUCGGAUCGCAGUCUGCAACUCGACUGCGUGAAGCUGGAAUCGCUAGUAAUCGCGG
rnacentral:rRNA from 1 species